rnacentral:rRNA from 1 species
AGCUCCAAUAGCGUAUAUUAACGUUGUUGCAGUUAAAAAGCUCGUAGUUGGAUUUCUGGUAAGCUGCGCCUGGCCCGUCGCAAUCAUGCGUAUGUGUGCCGGAGCGCGGUUGCCAUCCAUCUAGAAAACCUUUUCUCUCUUCACUGAGUGGUCUGGGGAUCUAGAUCUUUUACUUUGAAAAAAUUAGAGUGUUUAAAGCAGGCUUGCGCUAUGAAUACAUUAGCAUGGAAUAAUAAUUUAGGACUUCGGUCUUAUUUUGUUGGUUUCUAAGAUUGAAGUAAUGAUUGAUAGAGAUAGUUGGGGGUGCUAGUAUUCAGUGGCCAGAGGUGAAAUUCUUGGAUUCGCUGAAGACUAACUUAUGCGAAAGCAUUCACCAAGGAUGUCUUCUUUAAUCAAGAAC